rnacentral:rRNA from 1 species
UACGAAGGGAGCUAGCGUUGUUCGGAAUCACUGGGCGUAAAGCGCACGUAGGCGGAUGUGUCAGUCAGGGGUGAAAUCCCGGAGCUCAACUUCGGAACUGCCUCUGAUACAGCACGUCUUGAGUCCGAUAGAGGUGGGUGGAAUUCCUAGUGUAGAGGUGAAAAUUCGUAGAUAUUCGCAAGAACACCAGUGGCGAAGGCGGCUCACUGGCCCGAUACUGACGCUGAGGCACGAAAAGCGUGGGGGAGCAAACAGG